AUUGACACAGGAAUCGUUACACCAAGGAGUAAAGAAAUACAAAUUACAGCUCUGCAUGCGUUCCUUCCUAAUUCGAUCUAGGAAUUAAAUUAAACUGGCGAACAUUCUCAAAUUUCACAAAGAAUGUAUAAAUAUGUAAAAAGAUUUAUCAGACUGGCUAUAGUCGAAUCCAAGAAAUUUGAAUGUCAGGAUAUUUAAACACGUACAGCUAGAGAUUGUAACGUCGCAUGGCAGAGUGGCUGAAUAGAGUUGGUGUCACGAAACAACAGAAUUGAGUAUAUUGUAUUUAAUAUACCGUAUGUAAGCGGGGAUUCCAAACUACGAGGUUGCGUUGUAAGAUUGUUGGCCUAGGCUGUUUCAAUUUCCAUUUCUGUGGUUACUGGCUCCCAAGGUAGUAUUACAUAAAACAUUAAUAACAAUUCUUUUAAACUUUUAUUUGAAUUGUAUAAAAUGUUGGAAUAAACAUGGAUUGAAAUUGAAUGCAAAAAAGAAGAAGAAGAAGAAGGCGGAUAGAACAUUCUAGUAUUUGUUGUGAUGAGCCAAUCAGGGGUAAACCAGAACUCAUAUUCAUUAUCAUUUUAAAUUUUUAAAAAUAGAUUUUUUAAUGAUUAAAGAAGUUUUAAGAAUGGAAUAUAUUAGAUUCGUGCAGUUUAUAUAUAUUCACAUAAGCUAUACCUAACAUAUGUUGCAUUGAUAAUUCCACUCGCUUAUCAAACUUCAAACCCAUAAUUCAGCCUGCCCCUCAUCCCCACCCUUCUCCUAAACCUCACCCUUCCCCCCCUUGACUCCCCCACCCUUUCUCCUAAACUUCUUUGCCCCCCCCCUUAAUCAUCUCUUCCUCUCGAAACCCCUUCAUCAAAACCAUAUUUUUCACAACUUACAAUUUGCUGCGCUAAUUUUCACGAUUACGUGAGUCAGAGGAUUUCUUAAAAGCGCCAUUUUUCAAAAUUUUGUUGA